UCAAGUUAUGUUCACGUGAAUUUAAAGAACUCAGUGUACCAGAUUUUAUUCAAAUUUAACUUGCAAAUGGCUUAUUCAUCUGUCUCACUAUGACUGUCAUGCUACACUGAAAACUAUAACUUGAUUUAUAAUAUUGUAUUAUCAACCUGCUUGGUGAUAAACAAAUGUUAAACUAUUGCACAUAGGAAGUUGAUGCCACGUGAAUGAAAGACAAUAAUCUUCAUGAUCAUGAUCACGUUUUAAAGUUUCCAUAAACUUUGUCACUUUUUCCAGUGGAUUAUUGCUUUUAUCUUAUCUCUGUAGAAUGAGACAUUAAUUCCCAGUCUUUUCAAUGUUAUUCAUACUUUAACUGCCCUUUGAAACUACAUCAGAACUCGGUUUUUACUUUCUUGAUUCUCCAACCUGACCCACCCUGUUAAAUCCUCACAAAACUGUUUUUCUCUUCAAUUUGAAUUUUAUGCAAAUUAACUUAACUUAACUUAACUGUAUUUAAACAGGUUUGAAAUUUUCCAGGAUUUUUCCAUUCAGGAUUUUCAAGCAAUCUCUUUCAAUAUCUGGAAAAUCCUAAGGUGUUUUUACUUGUAAAAGUUAAUUUAAAACACAAGAAGUGUGUUUUAAGGAGUGCAUUAAGGCAAAUACAUGUAAAUCAGAUACUAUGAUGCUGUGUAACCGUCAAACCCUCUGGUGAUUAUUUUGUGAAUAUUUCAUUUCCUCCAAUCUCAUCACUGCUUACAAGAAAAGUUUAAAGCUUUUGAUUGGUACGCAUGCAAGUUUUAUUAUGAACAUUGUCAUAUAGGGUCAGAAAGUAGAUUCCUGCCUUUUUAAUUCACUGGGAUUGAAACCCUAUGGACCAAUAAGUGUAACCCCACCCACAUUAAUUUCUGGCUUCACAUGCUCACUGAAUGUCACCCUCAUCUUGCAAAGAAAUCUCUGCUAGACCUUUAAACAUGUACUUGGGCUGGUGGUAGUUUCUGCUGCAUUUUUUUCAGUUCUUUUACAUGUAGAUGAUUGCUUUAUAAAUUGUGAGUGUUUAAUAAUAAAUAGCAUGUAACAUUAAGCAUAUAUAUCAAUUACCAGUGAUAAUGAAUGUAAUCAUAGAAAUGGUCCAGUGAGGAUGGAAAUGAGCAAGAUUCUAGCCAAUGGUCAAGCCUUAGUAUCUCGCUGCUCAUGCAAUAAGGGACCAGACAUGGAGUUUCAGUUUGUAAACAACUCUCACAAAGCCAUGCACAGAGCUCACAAUGAGCUCUCAUAUGAGAGAGCUAGUUUUUUUAUAUGUCUUUACAGUCUAUAUAUGGAAGGUCUUUACCAGUUGACUGUGGUGAGAAAUAAAUGGAAGUGUAAUUACUGGCAAGAUCUCCCAACUGAAAAUGUACCUGCUACAUGUAUAUAGUGUCUCUAUACAUACAUGUACAUGUACAUAAAAAAACGUAGUGUGUCUCUGUCUUAACUGUAGCAUUUAACUCAUCUUUCGUCACAAAUUGGAAUUCUGAUUUAUUCAAAAUGAUUUAACCUCUUAAUGCUGGAUGACAUGUACAGGUAAACACAUACAAUUUUCCUUAUUUAUUCCAGGACAUUUACACUCAUUUCAGAACUCUUUUUUCAUGUCUAAAGUUGACAUAUUAAUGUGUUGUGUGUGGUUGGGUCAAAGUGUGGAAGACGAUCCUACACGCGGACACUGCUACUAAGUGGACUUACCCCCAACGAACUGUAGAACAGAAAUGCCUUUCUUGCAUAGUUAGAAUUGAAUUGGGGAGCCCACACCAUAUACAAAAAAGCUAAGGGCUUCAUGCCCUCCUUUGUUCGGGUAAACCAAUUUGCUAUGGAGUGAAAUCACACAAAAGAAAUAAGGUUAAAAAAUCCCAACUAGCUACUUCUUUGUAUGAACCAAUUGGCAAGAAAACACGCAUGACCAUGAGUGACACCUGUACAUGCCAUGGACCUUUGUAUGUGAACCGGUUGACAUGUGAACAUGUGCUACAAUUUUUACCAGAGCAGAUAAGGGGGGGAUGGAAAUAUUGAUGCCUAACCUCAAGAGCCGUCCCCCCGUACAUAUAUUAUGGCCGUCAUAAAUAGAUUGCUGGGUUGAAGAAUUUGCAGAGAAAACAACCCGCUUCCAGCAGCUUUUUCCAGUAAGAAAAUCCAGUGUUCACUGCUUAACCCUCAAAGAGCCGGGGAGGGGGCAAAAUCUGCCCCCUGUUGAUUUUUUUUAAAAGCAUCUCUAAGAUUAUUUUCUGCGUGCCAAUACUUUAUGACAAUUUUUUCCAAAGUUUUAGCUUGAUUUUGACCCCAAACUUAUGAAAAUCGGAGUUGGCAUUCUCUCUCAGCAACGAAUUUUAGAAGGCAGGUUGAAGCGAGAUGUGAAAUUUACUGUGACUUUGUAUACAGUACAUAGGACAGAGUGGUAUCCUACCAUGAAUAAUUAAUUAGUCUUAAUUAUGCAAAGACUUAAUUAAUCCACAUGAAAUUUUACGCAGAUGAUAAGUAUGGAUGUCUCUAUGACACUGGCAAAUUUCAUUGAAGUACAUCAUCGUAUGGCUGAGAUCUGGGGGUGGGGCCAAUUCCCCCAGCUGUGACAAGACCAAAAAGCCUGACUCUUUGAGGGUUAAGCUUAAAAUGGGCCAACUUGACGGAUUGUGUAUGGAUAUCCAUUGGUGUUAUAUCCUUUGUGUAUUAGAGAUACAAUUUAUGUCACUCUUCUACACCACCAUUGACGUGAUGAAAUUAUAUGUUCAAAAAUCACAUUUUACAUGCGUUGGUGUGUAUUUUGUGCGAAUGAUAAAUCUGUUCAUUUUCAUAAGUAACAACAUUAAGUAAAGAUGGAAAUUGCUUUAAAAGAUUCAAUCAUUAUUUACACAAAACCUGAUUGCUACAGUGUCUUUAACACUUAAUGUAUUAUUCAAAAGAGAUAUGUUUUCAUUUGUCAUGAUUGUGAGGAUGCAGAUCCAAAACUACAGUAGGAAGUUCCAGUAUUGUUGACUGAGUUGUGAUCAGUGUUGUACCUGCUUUAAUUUAGGCUUGUGUGAAUUUUUUUCAAGCUUUUGACAGAUUAAGAGUGGUGUAGGUAAUGCAGUAAGCUACUGACCACUUUAAACAUCACCUGAGGCUAAGUAGCUCCAAUCAAUAAUUGACCCAGUCACCAUUGGCUCCUCUGACUGACAAACAGACAGCUUCAAUAUAAUACUGGGUUGAUUAGCCAGAGGGAAACAUAUAAUUAAAUUUAUGCCCUAAUUCAAGAUUUCCAAAGAUCUUACUUCACACUAUCAGCCUAACCAUAAAACAAAGAAAGUAAAUAUGUAUGAAGUUGCAAUAUCAGAAUUUUGUCUUGUAUGCAAGUUGUGUCUGAUACAUAAAUGACGCACAUGUACUCAAAGAUGUGGGUUAUCUUGUAUAUCCAUUAACUUAAUAUAAUUGACAUUACUUCAAAUGCUGUAUGUAAGAUUUUGAUGAUCUUUGUUAGUGAUAUGAAAGUCUGGUUAAUGGCUCUUAAUUGAAAAAAUAACAUUUUACUUUUUAUGCAAGUAAAUUGUUAAAACCCAGAGUAAUGACGCACUGAAUUUUUUUUUUUGAAAACACAUGGUGAUUAAAGUGAUUAAAGAAAUAGCAUAUUAUGCACAUUGUGUUUUCUGUUAAGAUCAUGUGUGUGAUCCCUUUAUGAUACAAGUCAGUCUUUUCAAUUAUGAGAUAGUUAUCGUUUGGAUGAUUCACAUGGUGAGUACACUAUAACUUAUUUUGUACCGUUCCUUAACCCUAACUCCCUAGGGUGUAUGCAAAAUCAUAUUAAAACUGAACGAUUCAGGGCUGUUAGGGUUAAGGACUAGCUGAAGACCUCAACAAAUCUAUGGGUAAUACAUUCUAGUCAUCUGUAGUUCAUGACCUCAGACGUACAUGUAGAUGGAACACUUUCAUUUCAAACCUAAAUUCUGCUACCAAGAAGAGAUGAAAAGCCUUUGAUUUCAUAAGGAAAAUGUGUUUUAUAAAUUUUGCCUGAUUGAAAUUAUUGUUUGAUAAUUUGAAGUAUUUUGUUCAGUAAUUUAGCCUCUAAACCGAACAUUGAAAUUGAAAGCCAGUCUUUAUCAUGUCACCACCUUUUAGCUAAGUAGGGCUUUGAAGAAAAUGUUAAAAUUUUUGUAUCCAAGGACAGGUGUAAGCUGAAUUUGCAAACUUCAAAAGGCAAUGUAACCAGACUUGGAGGCAAAUCAUUUGAGAAUACUAUUUUAUUAUGCUUAUGACCACAAACCCAAUUUUUCUUAUAUUUGUGAUUUUUGCAGCAGUGCACUGUUUUAUUAGUUACGCAAACAAUACUUGAGAAGUAAAACCCUUAAAAAAAACUUGUAUCUUACAUUUUCCCUUAAUGGUACAUUAUGCAUGCAAAGUGACCAGUAUGCAAAUUGUCUCGAUUGGCUGGCUUUGUUGUCUUAGCUGUAUGCGCGCGCGUGCCACAAUUGCCAAGCAAAAGCAAGCUUGCUCAUUGACAAGGCCCUUGGCAGCACUGAAUGCACUGCGCACACGCGGUGGGAUGUUGCUCAUUGAACCGUGUGUUUGACAUCACAACAAGCUUCGUAGGCCAGACCGUUGCCUGCCUCCGCUGUCACUGCUGCUCCUUCGUUGCCACUCACAUCUCAUAACAUUAACCCAUUACCUACACAGUCAAACCUGGCCUUCAUUUCGCUGGCUAACGAUACAAUGACGAUCAUGGCAGCGACUCAAGUAAGCAGCGGUCAGGAAACGGUUCCUCAUCAAAUGCCUGCCCAGCAACAACCUCCGUUGAAAUCUUGCAUGACCAGUCCACCUCAGACCAUUCCCAUGAAAGAUCAUGAUGCCAUCAAACUGUUCGUCGGUCAGAUUCCAAGGAAUCUGGAAGAGAAAGAAAUUCGACCCAUCUUUGAAGAACACGGCCGCAUCUACGAGCUGACGAUUUUGAAAGACCGCUAUACCGGCAUGCACAAAGGUUGUGCCUUCUUGACAUACUGUGACCGUGAGAGUGCUAUUCGUGCACAAACGGCUCUGCACGGGCAGAAAACGCUACCAGGGAUGAAUCGCCCCAUGCAAGUAAAACCAGCUGACAGUGAAAGUAGAGGAGAGGACCGGAAGCUUUUUGUGGGUAUGCUUAAUAAGCAUCACUCUGAUGAAGAUGUGCGAGCUAUGUUCAGCAGAUUUGGCAAGAUUGAUGAGUGUACUGUUUUACGUGAUGGUAAUGGUGUCAGUCGAGGGUGUGCAUUCAUCAAGUUCAACACAAGAAAGGAAGCAUUGGCAGCUAUCAACAACAUCAAUGGAACUGUUUCUAUGCCUGGCUCUUCCACAGGCCUGGUAGUGAAAUUUGCUGAUACAGAGAAAGAAAGGCAAAUGCGCCGUAUGCAGCAGUCUGUUCCUGCCGGGCCAGUUUCAGGAUUCUUCAGUCCAACAUUGCCCAUUACACCAAUGGGAGGAUUAGGAGCCUACGGUGCAUAUGCACAAGCUUUAAUGCAGCAGCAGGCAGCAUUGAUGGCAUGUGGGCAAACCAUGGCAACUGCGUACAUGAAUCCAAUGACUGCUGCUCUGUCUGCUGCCCAAGUUCAACAGAUGAAUGCAGUCGCUGCUGCUAAUGGCUUUACAGCAGGAACCACUACUAUGACACCUACUGCUAGUGACUUUGCAUUUGCUACUCCAGGGACAGGCCAAGCCACAGUAAAUUGCACAACCCCAUCCUUGCCAUCACCCACCAUGCCAACAUACACUAUGGCUCUACCCACUAAUGGCCAGAAUAGUGAAGCCGUUUACACCAAUGGUAUACAUCAGUAUACUGGAGAGUAUGCUCAAGCUACUGCCGCUGCUGCUGCUGCUGCAGCGACUACUGACCCAUUACAGCAGGCUUACACUGGGAUGCAACAAUAUGCUGCUACCUAUCCUAAUGCCUAUGGCCAACUAACCCAAGGAUUUCCUGCCCAGCAGACAACAGUCAUGCAGACCCCUCAGGCAAGGGAAGCGUCCGUGAUGUCACCAGUGCGCUUUUCUCUUGCUGGUCCUGAAGGCUGCAAUUUGUUCAUUUAUCACUUGCCUCAAGAGUUUGGUGAUGCUGAAUUGAUGCAGAUGUUCCUUCCCUUUGGCAAUGUCAUCAGUUCCAAAGUGUUUGUUGAUCGUUGCACUAAUCAGAGUAAAUGCUUUGGAUUUGUGAGCUUUGACAACCCAAACAGUGCACAGACAGCCAUUCAGACCAUGAAUGGUUUUCAGAUUGGCAUGAAACGUCUCAAGGUGCAGUUGAAGCGUCCCAAGGAUGCUAACAAACCCUACUAGCUUCAUCCUGGGCCAGUCCUCAAUACACCUAGGAUGUCCGAUCAUCAUUUAUGUUAGGAGGUUCUCUGUUGCAAAUGAUGUGCCUGGAAACCCCCUGGCAUAGCAACCAAGUUCCCUAAUGACAGCUCAGGUUUUAUAACAUGCAGGAGACCGCAGAAGUGCCACAUGACAGAAAACUCCCAGCAGGCUAAUGUAUCACUGAAUCUACGUACUUGAACAUGAUACAAAUCCAGAAGCAAGUGAGCAUGCCAAACCACUUAUGCUCAUUCAAGAAAAAAAUUUGAAAACAUAAGGAGCCAUCUUCUUAAUGUUUUCCUUUGCACUGAUUUUUUUGCCGAGGGGUGAGGAUUUAGAUAUAGUUUCAGUUCAAAGUAAAAUGGAAAAAAAUUAGAGAUGGAAUUGUUCAGGUCCCCCCAAAUUAAGGCCUAAAACCAGAAUUGAGAAUGUCCACUUUUGAUUUAAAUGAGUUUUGUCCACCAUUUCAGAUAUACUUUGGUACAGUUUAUGUAUUAGUAGUGUCUUUGUUCAAUAUAUAUUUAUCCAAAAAUUGGUUGCAGAAAACUUGAAGAUGGGGGUAUCUGUCUCAGAAAGAUUAUAACAUUUCAACCACAAGCACCGAUACAUUGGAAUUUGUCUCUAGAAGCAGUUUUCACUCACCCAGUUCUGGUUUAAACCUCAAAAUAUUUAUCACUUUUAUUUGCUGCCAUAUCUGGCUAAUAGAGUUGUAUCAAUUAUUUCUGAUCAAAACAACUGAAAGGGUCUUUCAUUUGUUGCAAUGAACCAAACUGAAGUUCUUGCAUUGACAAGUUGGUUGUGUUCAUGUAUAUUGGCAAUAGCUAGCAAUUCAAGAAAGAUGUCUUUCUAGCUUUACUCUGGAUGUUGAGAGAUUAAAUGAAUUUUCGAGUCAUGCUCAUGGUAGGUACUUUUUAAAUGUCAGCAAAUAUUUUCAAUUCUCCAUUUGAUUUGUCAAAUGUUAUCAUCUUGUCAUCUUUGCUUUUAAUACUGUACCUUUUGUCAUAGUUUUUCGUUUGGCAAGGUCCUACUGGCUUUAUCCAUUGUGCAUUAUGAACUGUUUAAUUGAAACUGUAACAGCAAUUAGCCAAGUCUGCAUCCUUAUGUCCAAAUUCUUUAAACAUUACAGAAGGAUCUUUCUUGUGAUUAUUUGAUGAUUGUCCAGUUCAAUUUAAAUAAUAAUUUAAAUAAUAACAAUGUGAUUUCUGUACUUUGCCAUCCGUCCAGAGUUUCACCCUUGUAGCUGUAAGAUUCAAAAAUGACUAGGUUAGACCAGGUGAUUCCAAGGUGCAAUUUUUGGCAGCCUAUACAUAUUUUUGGACAAAUUUAUUUUUUAAAUUCAUGUAUCUGUGCCCAGUAAAAAGACCAAAUUGCAGAUACACUAGUGAUGUGUGCAAUAUCGUAUUAACACACUUGUGAGGUUUUCAGUGGAAUGAUUUCUUGUCAUCUGUUGUGGUACUUAGUGGGUUAAAUAUGAGCAUGUCACGGUAUAUGUUACCAUAAAAUGUUCUUCUGAACAGGUUUCCAACACAGGUCAUUAUGUCCCUUUUAUGUUCAUUUAAAAUAAAAUUUCCUUCACAAUGUAUCCAUUCACCAGUACCAGUAACCAUUCACUGUAAGUUGUUAAUUAUUUCACAGUCCUGGUAGUCAAUAAGGAAUUACUAUUUGUGAUACUUGCUGAAGUUUUCUUUUGAUAUGCACUUGGUUUUGAAUGGUUUUAAGUUUUGAUAUUAAAAGUGAAACUCAAAUUGACUAAUGAUGGUGUGGAGUCAGUGUUAGGUUGUGGCUUGGGAGCUCUGCAGUAGGUGCAUUCACUCAAGCCAACAGGUUUAUAAAUAUUUAUAUUUUCAAGUGCAAUAUUUGGUUUUUGAAAUGUAGAAAAGUUACUGAUGAAAUGAUGAAAAUCAUGAAACUGCCAUAGGUAAAGUACAGUGUAUCAACACAUUAGCUUGACAACUUGAUGAUUCGCUUUAUAUGGACGGGUAAUGAUGCUUAAAAUGUGAGAUGGAAACAGUGGCUGAUAUUUAUUCAUUUAAAAGUUGUGCUUACCUGGGAUUUCAAGCUAACAAUCUUAAAAUUUGUCACGUUUGAAGCUUUUACUGACAAAUUGAGGAGUGCAGGGGAAAUUGGCUACAAGUUCUGGACUGUGACCAAAGAUGUUCAUUCCUCACCAACAAUUGCAUUCCAACAAUGGUACUGUUGUUUGUAUUGCUUACAAUCAUGUAGAAUGAGCAAGAAGGUUAGGACAGUUAACCAUAUUAGCAUGUUUCCUUAAGUAUAAACUCAUUGACAAAGUUGAAAGUAUUUUCAUUUAGAAAUUUUGUACUUAAACAUUAUUUAUAACAGUAUCAAAUUGAAAGAAAGUUCGAAACAGCACUUAAUAAGUAUUCUGUAUUUAUUCGUAAAUUGAAUUGUGUGUACACAUACGUAUAUUUGUUGAAUUUAUUCUACUUUAAAGCAACACUUACAGAUAUGCCUGUGUUUGUGGGUAUUUCUACUUACUGACAUAUCUUUCAAAGCGGAAUGAGAUACAAAGUUUAACACGAAUUAGUUUUUGUUUUCAAACUUUGCUUGGAAGAUCAUAGAAAACAUAUGGAAAGAGUUUGAAUGUGAGGUUGAUUUAUCUUGAAAGAGUAAGCAAAUAUCACUUAUCUGCUCAUCUCAUGCGGUCAUAAACUGAUUCAGAUUUUGUUAGGCUAUUGCGUUGUUUUGUAUGUAUGAAACAUCACUCCUGCUUCACUUCACUGCCAGUAAACUUGCUUUGCGCAUUUUCUUUGUAUUCUCUUUGACACUUAUUUAUCAGAAAAUUUAAAAGUAUACUUUUCAUUUGGCAAAGAGUUUAUAACGUGAGUUGUUAUUGUACCUCAAAUGAAUUGCACACAGAAAGGUUAUAACACAGUAAAAUGCACCGUGAUAUAUAAAUUGUAUUUAACAGGUCAGAGGACUUGUAGUACUUAUUUAUUUAAAAAACACAUUUAUAUUUAUCAUUAUGAAGAAUUUAGUCAGCGAUUGCACUGUAGGUAUCAAUGUUUAUUUAAGAGUAGCAUGAAAUAAUCAAAGUCUAACUACAUUUGAAAUGAGACUUUCUGCAUGUACAUUUUGCUGAGUAAUACAUAAUUCAAGGAUUACCCAAUUCAUUCAUAGAAUAGGUGAAGUAGAGAUGAAUCAAGAUUGUAGGUAGCAUUUACUAGUCAGAAAGCAGGCUGUACCUAACUUGCCCUAUCUGUAGAAAUAUAUAUGAGUAGAAGAUAAUUUUAUAGGUAGGAUACUAAAAUUACUAUGCUAUUAUGUAGACAGGUACUUGCAUUCAAAAUAAAUUAAGCUUUGUAUUUCUUGAUAUCUGCACAAUGUGAGUUUGGAUCAUACAUUUUCAUUCACUUUGAAUACAAAUUUUUUACCAACCUUUUGGGAUUGAAUUAUGACAGAGACUUAUAAUGAUAUGCCUUUAUUUUUUAACAUCACAUGUAAUUCUGGAAUAUGUGUAUUAAAUGUUGACCACUUUUGAAUUUCUUUCUAGUGGUUGUGGUACACCAGGUCUAACAUAUUUUAAUUGGUAAAAUAGUUUGUGAUCUUCUUAAGUUGUGCCCAUUAGUGGUUAAUGGUGGUGGUUGUGAUGGUUGUGAUGGUGAUGUAUUGUGAUGGUGAAUGUAUUGCACAUUUGACUAACUGAAACAGGCCAUGCCUCAAGUUGUUCACCUGCUGUCGUUUAAUGUACCGUAACAGACUCUUCAUUCAUUGUGGUAUUUGAGGAAUUAUCGUACUUCCAACUUAGAUGAGUAAGUUUGUAAAUCUAAUCUUACUGUAGCCUCAGUUGUCUACCAUAACCCUUGAAUGAAGAUGAUUUAUUCCAUGAUCAGACGGCAGUGUGAAAGUGAACAGCCAUUCUAUCCAAUUUUGGGAACUUGUUUUAUAAAGACUAAAGUGUACAAACUCACAAUGUAUGAGACGGUUCCUGUGCAGCUGGAGCCAUAUUGUGUUUGUAAAGAAGUUGUUUUUUUUUUCUUUGUAAAGAAAUACAGUCUAGUGAAGUAACUGCUGUAAUGCGAAAGAGCUUUUGAUACACUAUACUUUUUUAACAUUGUAGACAUGGAAAGUGCAGAUCCAACUUACAGUGUGCAGAGAGGAAGGGUAUUAUAUUAAUUAAGAGUUAAAAUAUCAGGAUAUUUAGGACAAUGUUGAAAAUUAUAACUGUAGCACGAUUUUCACAGGUAAUAGUUAUAGUUAAUUUAGUAGAUAAGUGUCAUGCCAAAAAGUUGUCAUAAAGAAAAAAAAUAAAUUUAAAAGAAGCGAAAGUGUACAUUGACAAAUAACGGCUACAAGUGGAAUGAUAAUAUUUGUGAUUUGUCUUAAAAUUUGCUUUUCCCAUAGAAUGUUAAAGUUAGAAAAAAAGGAAUGCAUACAAUUAUAUUUUACUCACAGUUGUGAACUUUGGCAAUGAAUUUUGGCAAUGUUUUAGGUUGUGUAUACUUAACAUACACUUUUAAAGGUUCAUUAUAAAAGGCAAUUCAAUGUUAAAAAGGACAUUUCAUUAUGUACUUCACAAAGUUCAAGGUGUUAACGGCUUGAUAACUCUUUUCUUAUUCUUUGUUUCAUCUCAAAUGAAAACAGUUAAAGUUUGAUAAUUCAUAACCAGCUGAAACUGACAGGUUUCUGUGACAUAACGGCCAGUGUGUUUUCAUACUUAGUAGUGAAUAAGCUAAAAGCUUUCAACUAUUUGGAUGUAUGAAGAAAAAGGCAAACAGUAUAUUAUGUUUUGUUUCACAACUUUCAACUGUAAAUAAAAUUCAAAUCUGAUAUUUGGUUUCAUCUAAGAAGAAAAAUGUCAAGUUAAUUAUAGAUUGCUUAGGAAAAUGAAAUAAAGCCCACAGCACAGCACUGACA